rnacentral:rRNA from 1 species
CAGUCGACGCUUCUUUUUCCCCGGAGCUUGCUCCACCGGAAAAAGAGGAGUGGCGAACGGGUGAGUAACACGUGGGUAACCUGCCCAUCAGAAGGGGAUAACACUUGGAAACAGGUGCUAAUACCGUAUAACAAUCGAAACCGCAUGGUUUUGAUUUGAAAGGCGCUUUCGGGUGUCGCUGAUGGAUGGACCCGCGGUGCAUUAGCUAGUUGGUGAGGUAACGGCUCACCAAGGCCACGAUGCAUAGCCGACCUGAGAGGGUGAUCGGCCACAUUGGGACUGAGACACGGCCCAAACUCCUACGGGAGGCAGCAGUAGGGAAUCUUCGGCAAUGGACGAAAGUCUGACCGAGCAACGCCGCGUGAGUGAAGAAGGUUUUCGGAUCGUAAAACUCUGUUGUUAGAGAAGAACAAGGAUGAGAGUAACUGUUCAUCCCUUGACGGUAUCUAACCAGAAAGCCACGGCUAACUACGUGCCAGCAGCCGCGGUAAUACGUAGGUGGCAAGCGUUGUCCGGAUUUAUUGGGCGUAAAGCGAGCGCAGGCGGUUUCUUAAGUCUGAUGUGAAAGCCCCCGGCUCAACCGGGGAGGGUCAUUGGAAACUGGGAGACUUGAGUGCAGAAGAGGAGAGUGGAAUUCCAUGUGUAGCGGUGAAAUGCGUAGAUAUAUGGAGGAACACCAGUGGCGAAGGCGGCUCUCUGGUCUGUACUUGACGCUGAGGCUCGAAAGCGUGGGGAGCAAACAGGAUUAGAUACCCUGGUAGUCCACGCCGUAAACGAUGAGUGCUAAGUGUUGGAGGGUUUCCGCCCUUCAGUGCUGCAGCUAACGCAUUAAGCACUCCGCCUGGGGAGUACGACCGCAAGGUUGAAACUCAAAGGAUUGACGGGGGCCCGCACAAGCGGUGGAGCAUGUGGUUUAAUUCGAAGCAACGCGAAGACCUUACCAGGUCUUGACAUCCUUUGACCACUUCUAGAGAUAGAGCUUCCCCUUCGGGGGCAAAGU